rnacentral:rRNA from 1 species
GACGAACGCUGGCGGCGUGCUUAACACAUGCAAGUCGAACGGAAAGGCCCUGCUUUUGUGGGGUGCUCGAGUGGCGAACGGGUGAGUAACACGUGAGUAACCUGCCCUUGACUUUGGGAUAACUUCAGGAAACUGGGGCUAAUACCGGGUAGGAGCUCCUGCUGCAUGGUGGGGGGUGGAAAGUUUCGGCGGUUGGGGAUGGACGCGCGGCUUAUCAGCUUGUUGGUGGGGUAGUGGCUUACCGAGGCUUGGGCGGGUAGCCGGCCGGGGAGGGUGGCCGGCCACAUUGGGACUGAGAUACGGCGCAGACUCCUACGGGAGGCAGCAGUGGGGAAUAUUGCACAAUGGGCGGGAGCCUGAUGCAGCGGCGCCGCGUUCGGGAUGACGGCCUUCGGGUUGUGAACCGCUUUCGCCUGUGACGAAGCGUGAGUGACGGUAAUGAGUAAAGAAGCACCGGCUAACUACGUG